UACGUAGGGUGCAGGCGUUAAUCAGAAUUACUGGGCGUAAAGGGCGCGUAGGCGGCCUUCUAAGUCGAACGUGAAAUCCCCGGGCUCAACCCGGGAACUGCGUCUGAUACUGGGUGGCUUGAAUCCGGGAGAGGGAUGCGGAAUUCCAGGUGUAGCGGUGAAAUGCGUAGAUAUCUGGAGGAACACCGGUGGCGAAGGCGGCAUCCUGGACCGGCAUUGACGCUGAGGCGCGAAAGCCAGGGGAGCAAACGGG
rnacentral:rRNA from 1 species